GUCAGGCUGUUUCCCAAAGCAAGCUGCAUUGCCGCGCUGCAGGUGGCGAAGGCUCGGGCUCGGAGCUCGCCGCGGCUCUUCAAGGGUUGCCAAGCGCGCGCCAAAGCGCUCCGCCUCAGACCUGGUUCCUCUUCGCACCCGGGGCAAACGCGGCCGUGUCCCUGCAUCGGGUCUACUUCGCAAGCACUUUUCCUCCGGAAAGCGGGAAACCGCGGGAUUUGGGUGUCGGGCCACAAACAGCUCGCAGUUCUUAAACCUCUUUUGACAACAACAGGACUCUACGGGCAAAAUGAACAGCUAAGAAAAAUCAAGCAUUAUGUGUCGUGCAAUGGUCAACCAGGAAACUUACAACUAUGAAAAAGAGGGUGAUAGCCCUUUCUCUGUGCUCCUUUAUCAGCUUGUCAUGGGGGUCUGUUGAAACAGAGGAUUUGCUUGAAAGAAGCAGUGCAAUUAGAAUUCUGUUCCCUCCCCCAUUUUAUUCAAAUAGCUGAUAAAACACAGCAAAGUCAGUUUCAUUUCCUCAGCCUCAAGACUUGCCAAGGGUGCUUUACUCUUUUUUCUUUCAUCACCAGUUUUUCUUCUUCUUUAAUAAGACAAUAUUUCAAAAAUGCAGAUUAGAUAUUUUUUCCCCUGAACUCCAUCUUUCAGUUCCGCUCAGGUUGAAUCUUCUAUGUGCAUGCAGAUUAUGAUAUAGAUUUACCAUAUUAUGCACUAUUCUAACUGCACCCCUACCAAUGAUAUAGAUUGAACAUACUGUAAAGUGUUGCAGAGUAUAAAGUGUGGGCAGGCUGUGUGCAGUAUUCUAACUGUACCCCUACCUAUUCUUCUUCUUAAUUGAGAAUUAAUGGCAGUAACCUUUCUUUCUUUCCAAGUCAGAUGAAGUGGCAGCUGGGAUUGCUAUAGCUAGUGUUUGUUUGGCAAGUAACACUUUUGAUUUUCUUACACCACCUAAGGCUCUCUGCAAUCAGUAGAUUAGGUCCUUCCUGCACCAAUCUUCUUUGGCACUCUUUUCCCUAAUUGUGCUCUCAAAUGCUUUGUGGACCUUCAGACCAUCCCUUCAGCAGUGCAAACGCUGCCUAAUGCAUUUUAUGAUCAAUACCCACCUUUUCUCUGGAUUGAAACCAAUAGUCCAUUUUCAGGAGGCUACUAGAGCUAAGUCUAUUGACACCAUUGUCUCCGUUUCAUAGAGUUUAAAACUCUACCUGUAAUGCCACCAAAGCAGCUGAUACUUAUACCAGCCCAUCUGUCUUCCUUUCCUUCUUAUCAAAAUUAUGUCCUGUGGAAAUGUCUCAACAAAGAAUUGAAACUGUUUUGGGUGUCUGAAUGGAUAUGUGAAGAGCCACAAGAAGCCAUGCCUGAAACCAGGCUCAUCACACUGUGAGUUUCUAAUAUACAUUGUCUGCCAUUCUGGAGGUAAUAAACAGCCAUUGAUGACCCUUUAAGAAUCUGUUUAGGACUUUAAAAAGCUGUUUAAAAUUAUGACCAACUUCAUAUCUAAUUGCAGCAGAUUCCAUAGUUUAAUUAUGUAUUAUUUAAAUACUUUAAAAAAUUCACUACUGAUUUCCUCAUAUUUAGCUUUAGCCGUUCUAACAAAGAGAGGAAGAAAGAUUUGCCUCUAUAGACCUUUUCAAUACUGUGCAUGAAAUAUUUAUUUUUAGAUGGAUCUUUCCUAAUAUAUCCUGGAAGGCUGCAGUCAGACAGUUGCAGAGUAUAAGUGAUCAGGCUGUUAUCUGGCUUCCUUUCCUUUCAGAUUGCAGCCUAAGCAAGGAAGUCAAGGUAUAAUGAUGGUGGCCUUCCAACCUCUUCAGGGCAAGAUGGUUUUCUGUUAAGGCAUCUGGGAAGUGCUGCUCUGACAUAUAUUGCGGAGAUUUCACUAAAAAAAACAGGGGGAAUUUUAUUCUUGCUGUUUUUUUUUCUACCAGGCUAUUCUGUGGUAUGGCAGACUACUAGGACUGGAGUGGCUGUGAUCUACUCUAUAGGAAUAUCAUCUUACUGACCAAAUGUUCCAUUUGGUAGUCUGCCAAUUCUGAGUGCAUGAUGCUGCAUUUGGAUGGAUGACACAGUAUAGAAAUAUUGUUAAUGUACAGUACGGUCCACUUAUCUGCCUAACUGUCAUCCUUACUGAGCUAGCCAGGGUGAUCUUGGUUAUGUUCUUUGUUCUAGAAGAUUUCAGGAUGCGC
ensembl:lncRNA